GAUGAACGCUGGCGGCGUGCCUAAUACAUGCAAGUCGAGCGAACAGACGAGGAGCUUGCUCCUCUGACGUUAGCGGCGGACGGGUGAGUAACACGUGGAUAACCUACCUAUAAGACUGGGAUAACUUCGGGAAACCGGAGCUAAUACCGGAUAAUAUAUUGAACCGCAUGGUUCAAUAGUGAAAGACGGUUUUGCUGUCACUUAUAGAUGGAUCCGCGCCGCAUUAGCUAGUUGGUAAGGUAACGGCUUACCAAGGCAACGAUGCGUAGCCGACCUGAGAGGGUGAUCGGCCACACUGGAACUAAGACACGGUCCAGACUCCUACGGGAGGCAGCAUUAGGGAAUCUUCCGCAAUGGGCGAAAUCCUGACGGAGCAACGCCGCGUGAGUGAUGAAGGUCUUCGGAUCGUAAAACUCUGUUAUUAGGGAAGAACAAAUGUGUAAGUAACUAUGCACGUCUUGACGGUACCUAAUCAGAAAGCCACGGCUAACUACGUG
rnacentral:rRNA from 1 species